ACAGCAGCCGCCGCGGUAAUACAGAGGAUGCAAGCGUUAUCCGGAAUGAUUGGGCGUAAAGUGUCUGUAGGUGGCUUUUCAAGUCCGCCGUCAAAUCCCAGGGCUCAACCCUGGACAGGUGGUGGAAACUACCAAGCUGGAGUAUGGUAGGGGCAGAGGGAAUUUCCGGUGGAGCGGUGAAAUGCAUUGAGAUCGGAAAGAACACCAACGGCGAAAGCACUCUACUGGGCCGACAUUGACACUGAGAGACGAAAGGUAGGAGAGCAAAAGGGAUUAGAUACCCGAGUAGUCCCUGUCUCUUAUAC
rnacentral:rRNA from 1 species